rnacentral:rRNA from 1 species
GUGUAAGCGGUGCGAGCCGUUGAGCUAACAGAUACUAAUUGCCCGAGAGGCUUAACUAUACAACGCUCAAGGGUUU